AUUUCAUAAGGAGAAUUGUUGUGAAGAAUUCUGGAUGGAAUCCUAUUAAGCAAGUAGGUGGCAGUCAAUAAACAGUCCCCCCAAAAAUGAAUAGGUAAUUUGGAUUGAAAAAGUAAAGCUCUACAUGCUUCAAGGAAGGUCCUAUGUUUUCUUUCUAUAACACCAUUUUGUUGAGGAGUGUGGGGACAGAUAGUUUGAUGAAUAAUGCCCUGCUGGUUGAAGAAAGAAAUACCAGUAAGACUAGAGCCCAAUUCCAAAGCAUUAUCACUUCUGAUAGUUUGUACAGUAGCAUUAAAUUGAGUCUUGACCAUACACAAAAAGGACUUAAGAAGGCUAAAAGCAUUACUUUUAGACCCCCAGUAAAUGUGUCCAGGUUGCUCUAGAAAAAUCAUCAACUAUGGUAAGAAAAUAUCUUGUGCCAGAAGAGGUGGGUGUGUGAUAAGGACCCCAAAUAUCUACAUGAAUCAGUUGAAAAGGUCUACAGGUACUGAUUGAACUGUCAGGAAAAGGAAGUCUAGUUUGCCUAGCCAUGAGACAAACAGAACAGGGAAAUGGUUGUUUGGAAGCAAAAGAAAAAGACAAAGCAAAAAUGUGUUUCAUGCUUGCAAAUGAAAUGUGAGCCAGUCUUAAAUGCCAAAUGUAAUUCAUGUCAUUUGCAUCAGUUUUAUUAUUACAAAUGGAACUAUUUACAUUGGAAUUCAAAACAACAGAUUUANNNNNNNNNNNNNNNNNNNNNNNNNNNNNNNNNNNNNNNNNNNNNNNNNACAGAUUAUUACAAAUGGAACUAUUUACAUUGGAAUUCAAAGCAACAGAAUUAAGGUAAGAAGAACAAACAGGGGUACAAGAAUCAGAAAUGGAGCAUACAGAAGUAGAGGAACAACAAUUAAUAGAAGAAGGUGAAUAGGGCACCCAAGCAAAUUUGUACAGACCAACCUCCUCUUUACCAAGAUCCAGAGGCAUCUUCAGAGAAGGGGCCUGUAACAUGUGAAGGAAACAGGAAGUUGCAGUAAACAUGACAAUUCAGUGCAACUGUUUUACUAGUUUGUGGACAGAAAUUAAAUUUUGUUUGAAAUAGGGAACAAACAGUACAUUAUGAAGAGUGAUGGAGGGAGUUAAAGCAAAAGAUCCAGUUGAAGUCACUUUUACUUUAUACCCAUUAUGAAGAGUUACAAGAUAAGGCACAAGUAAAGGUGUGAUAUUAAAAAGUAAGUUCUUAUUAGAUGUCAUAUGAUCAGAAGCCCCUAAAUCUAUUAUCCAGGAGACAGAAGCAGUAUGAGUAAGUAGACAGAGUUUAGAAUCAGAAACAGGACUCUCAGUAAGCAUAGUACCAGCAAAGUUGGCAGCACACAUAGGAUGACAGGUCUGAGCAGGAGAAGUCUGAGCAGUGGAGUCACCCAAUUUGGACUGUUGCAGCAGAUUCAUCAAUUGAUCAUAAUGUUGCCUGCUCAAUCCAGGGAUUACAGAACUAUGUCCAUCCAUAUGUUGGACAGAUGAAUGACCCUCAAUGUGAUUUCGAGAAGCAUGAGAAUUGUGGUCAUCAGAAGAAGGGAAGGAGGUGAAAUCAACACCAGUGGUUACAUGGGCAGCAGUAGUUCUCUUCCCUUUGUUAAACCUGAUGCUUUGAGGAAAUCCAUGAAGUUUGUAACACUUAUCAAUUAAGUGCCCAGACUUCUUGCAAUAUCUACAUGCUUUGAGGAAAUCCAUGAAGUUUGUAACACUUAUCAAUUAACUGCCCAGACUUCUUGCAAUAUCUACAGAAGAGAGGUCCUCUGGAUUGAUCAAAAGUAACUCUCUGGCAUACUGUCUGAGAGGAGAAGAGUUGGACAUUGCAACUUGACUGAAAGAAGGUGUAGAAGUUUUGUGUGUGUGUUGACACUGAAGGACAUAGAGUCAGGAUUGAACUGGGAAAUAGACUGAACAUGUCUUUGUUUUUCAUCAUUGAGAAGAAUGUUGUAGACACUGUCAAGACUAGGAGGAGGCUGAAUCAUCAACAAGUUGCUCCUCACCCCCAUAUAUGUCUCAUUAAGGCCCAUGAGGAAUUGAAACACCUUAUUCUCCUCAUCCUUCUUUAUGAUGCCAGGUUUGGCAGCACAAAUACAUCUUUGGCCAUGAUUUGUGCAUACUACUCUUAAUUCAUCCCAUAACCCUUUGAGUUUGUUAAAAUAGGAUGCUAUAUCUAUAGGUCAUUGAGAAGAAUGAGAGAGUUCUCUUUUAAGUUCAAAAAUUUUGGUCCUAUUGGCUGUGCCAUAUCUGGCUUCGAGUUGUGCCCGUAUACUCUGUGCAGUCUCAGAAUAUUGCACACUCUCAGCUAUUUGAGGAGACAGAGAUGCAGUCGUCCAGGAAAUUACCAUAUUAUUGCAUCUGUCCCUUAAUUGCUGUUCAGCCAAGUUAGUAUUUGGUCUAGGACAGGUACCAUCAACAAAAUCAAUUUUGUUCUUAGCGGACAAGGCAAUUAUCAUCUUCCUCUUCCAACCCCCAUAACCACUACCGGGGAAGGGAAUAGGAACAAGGGAAACACCAGGAACAUCAGAAGAGUAAACAAAUAGAAGACUUGUAGGAUCAGUAGGUGAGGGAUUAGUAGGGUUCAUAUUUGUCAUCAGAAACAAAACAACAAUGAUGAGAGGAAAUUGAUUCAAUAUCUAUGAACUACAUAAUACAACAAAUAUUCCAGCAACAAAAACACAUGCAAGCUCUAAGCAAGAGUGAAAAUAGGAUUACCCGACUUCUACGCUACAGGAGAAGAAACGGCCUUCAAAGGUUCAGAG
rnacentral:lncRNA from 1 species